ACGUUUCUCCUCCCGUCUCCUUCCUUCGACCUCAGUUGGGCCAAAAUUGGGCGCGGAAAACCGCCUCUCGUUUCUUUCGCAAGUGCAAGAGUUGUGGUGCUUAUGUUGAAGAACACGUUGACAGUGCGUUUUGUGCUGCGUUUCUUUGUUGUAGCCCCCUCAGCCGUAGCGGCAAGGUUUUUGCUUAGCUGUUCAUCUUCCCACCAGAAGUUCAAGAACCACAAAAAAGUACGGACUACAGUGUUACCGCUGAGUCUCCGACUCUGGAAUUCACAAGACCUGUGCUUCCUACAAGAAGUGAAAGGUAAAAAAAAAGUGGGCGAAAGGCGUCACUAUCGGCAACAGCCUUUCUGGUUCAGGCGAUCGGUCUGCACAAAGGACUUGGAACGGAGAGUGCAACGAUAUGGUCGCUGGCCUGAGUGCAAGUGAUACUUCGUCGCCUUUCGGCGCAUGAGGACUGAAAUGGACGUUUGCCUACAUGGAUGAUCAGAUGUCUCCUCAGACUAACCAUUUUGCGAGAAACUCUGAGGGCAUGAAGGGCACUGAAAUGGCUUAUUGUCUGUUUGGAUGCAUAGGUGCUGGUUGAGCUUGGACGUUGGUGAGAAGCUCCGAGGGCACAAAUGGCGCUGAAAUGGACCCUCACCUGUAUGCACCGUGAUGUGUUUUCAUACAAAAUAUAUUUCCAGUUUCGUAGUCGCAGCAGUAGAGGUGUUUCAGCUACGAUUUGUCUUCCUCGGCAGUUGUUCGAGAGGAAUAUCUGGAUCCUCCACAAUGAAAACAAAACUGUACUUACGAAAUGCCAAAAUAAAAACAGAUGUCAAUGAUAA